UGCGAAAGCAGGUCAUAGUGAUCCGGUGGUUCUGAAUGGAAGGGCCAUCGCUCAACGGAUAAAAGGUACUCCGGGGAUAACAGGCUGAUACCGCCCAAGAGUUCAUAUCGACGGCGGUGUUUGGCACCUCGAUGUCGGCUCAUCACAUCCUGGGGCUGAAGUAGGUCCCAAGGGUAUGGCUGUUCGCCAUUUAAAGUGGUACGCGAGCUGGGUUUAGAACGUCGUGAGACAGUUCGGUCCCUAUCUGCCGUGGGCGCUGGAGAAUUGAGGGGGGCUGCUCCUAGUACGAGAGGACCGGAGUGGACGCAUCACUGGUGUUCGGGUUGUCAUGCCAAUGGCACUGCCCGGUAGCUAAAUGCGGAAGAGAUAAGUGCUGAAAGCAUCUAAGCACGAAACUUGCCCCGAGAUGAGUUCUCCCUGAGACUU
rnacentral:rRNA from 2 species